GACGAACGCUGGCGGCGUGCUUAACACAUGCAAGUCGAACGGAAAGGCCCUGCUUUUGUGGGUUGCUCGAGUGGCGAACGGGUGAGUAACACGUGAGUAACCUGCCCUUGACUUUGGGAUAACUUCAGGAAACUGGGGCUAAUACCGGAUAGGAGCUCCUGCUGCAUGGUGGGGGUUGGAAAGUUUCGGCGGUUGGGGAUGGACUCGCGGCUUAUCAGCUUGUUGGUGGGGUAGUGGCUUACCAAGGCUUUGACGGGUAGCCGGCCUGAGAGGGUGACCGGCCACAUUGGGACUGAGAUACGGCCCAGACGCCUACGGGAGGCAGCAGUGGGGAAUAUUGCAGAAUGGGCGGAAGCCUGAUGCAGCAACGCCGCGUGCGGGAUGACGGCCUUCGGGUUGUAAACCGCUUUCGCCUGUGACGAAGCGUGAGUGACGGUAAUGGGUAAAGAAGCACCGGCUAACUACGUG
rnacentral:rRNA from 1 species